CCUCCCUCAAGCGUCGGCUUGGUGUUGGGUUCCGCCGCCCCGCGGCUAGCCCUAAGGACAGUGGCGGUGCCGCCUGGCCCUCAGCGUAGUACAGUGCUCGCUCGAGGGCCCGUCGGGUGCCUGCCAGACCUCAACCCCUCU
rnacentral:misc_RNA from 1 species